GGUGCCGUGGUGCCGGUUUCGCUUAGUAGCUGAGUAGGCUUGAAUGGUCCUGUGUGCUGUGUUCUCUGUCCUGCCUCUGGAUGCUGUGGAGGGUGCUCAGGCAAGCUCCGAAGUUGCGACAUGCUUCUAAGCCUCGUGGUUGAUACCUCUGGAGAUACGUGUCAGCCCGGAGCUCUGCCAUUAAACUACCUCAUGUGUUUGCAUCAAGACGGUCUCUCAUGAUUCUUUGGGUGCGCGCUAUCUCGUGACUUGAGUGGGGGUAUCCCCAUGGAGGUCUUUCAUUUGGAGGUUCCACCAAGAUCUGCGUGACACCCAGGAACCCCGAAGACCCCUUGGAGGCACUGCAGCAGAAGAGGCCAGCUGUGCAGGCGCACGGCCCCGGGGUGCUGGGCCCCACGAGCGAGAUGGCGAGUGCAACACUCCACCGGCACCUGCCCCACCACCACCACAUACCUCAGCGCCCAAGGGAUGGGAGGAGAAGAGGGGCAGGGCCCGCGGGAUUCACGUCAGCACUCACCAGGUUCCCUGAGAGCGGCUGCACCAGAGUCACCGCACCGACCUCCCCCACCCCCGACCCUGGGCCCCGCUGCUGCAGACAGACGGACAGGAAGAAGAAGAAGAGACUGUGGGAGUGGCCAGCCAGGAGCACCGCGAGUUCCCUGGCUGCUUCUGAUACCUGCCUAAUUAUAUUUCCCUUUCCCCUGCAUCCCACCUGCCCGUCUCCAGGCUUUGGCAGUUCCAGAGUGCCUCUUGUUAGCAGAAAAAGUGCUUUCACUUUGAGAUGUCAGUGGCCCAGCUGGGCUCCUUUCGCUGCCCCAUGUGUCUUAUCAGGAGGCUCUGCCCUGAGCUGCUGGCAGUGAGUCUGCUCCAAGUUCCAUCGAGGGAGACAUCUGCCCACUUGGGGCUUCUCCUGCCCAAGGUAAGGAGCAUCUGUGAGUCUAACCGCCAGGCUCUGAUGAUGGUCUCAUCUCUGUGGGGAUAAGAAGUGCCCCAACAAUCUGACCAAGAUAAUAAAAAAUUACAGAAGUUAGAAAAAGACAGGGUAAGUCGGUAAGAAAGUGCAGAGGAAGAAAAACAAAAGAAAAAAGAGGAUGAAGAAGACAGAUGUAUAUAGAGGUCUAGAAAGAAGUGAGCUUAGACUGUAAGAAAGAGCAAAGCUUCAGCAGACUCAGGAGAGAUAGAUGACAGUGACAAAUAGAGAGGUUAACAGUAAAGAAAAGUGAAGGAGAGAGAGAGAAGCGAGAAGUGAGAGGCAGAAGAAAGAGAAAACAGGAGGAAUCAUAGACAAGAAAGAAAUUUGAUUAGAAUCUUGGCCACAGUGGUAGGAGAGAAAGAAAAGACAGGACCUAGACAGGGAUCCUGGGCAACAGAAGAUCCUAGAAGAACAGAAUUAAGUGAGUUAGAAUACCGAGCCUCAGCUAAAAAGGCUCAGCUGUGUCAGACUGAAGUUACUUAUUUGAGAUACACCCUUUGAGAUGGGAAGCAGUGGCUAAAAGAAGCCAGAAAAAGACGGUAACAACGAUUCCCCACCCCAACUACACCAAGGCAAGUAAGAGAAUUCUUGGGCACCACUGGCUUUUGCAGACUCUGGAUACCUGGAUUUGCGACCUUAGCUGCCCCGUUGUACCCCCUAACCAAGGAAGAGGAGGUGUUUGUGUGGACCCCAGAUUACCAGAAAGCCUUUAAAGAAAUUAAAAAGGCCCUACUAAUGGCCCCAUCCUUAGCCUUGCCUAAUGAGAGAGCAGGGGUCACCAGAAGAGUCCUUACUCAGACUUUGGGACCAGUGGUUUACCUAUCCAAGAAGUUAGACCCUAUUGCCAGCGGGUGGUUUUCCUGCCUGAAAGCUAUUGCUGCCGUAGCUCUGCUUGUCAAGGAUGCUGAUAAGCUCACUCUGGGACAGCAAAUAACUGUAGUGGUACCCCACGCUCUUGAAAGCAUUAUCCAAUAGUUCCCCUGACCGAUGGAUGACCAACACUGGUAUGGCAUUAUUAGAGCUUUUAUUGACUGAACGAGUGACCUUCGCUCCCCCUGCUGUCCUCAAUCCCGCUACCCUACUGCCUGAGACUUCACUUACUCAUCACUGUGCUAACAUUUUGGCAGAAGAAGCUAGUACUCAAAAUGAUCUGAAGGAUCAGAUUAGCCUUGGCCUGGGGGUUCGAGCUGGUACACAGAUGGCAGUAGCUUCAUGGUUAAAGGUAAGCAGAAGGCGGGGGCAGCAGUGCAGUGGUGGACAGAAAGCAAGUGAUCUAGGCCAGCAGCCUCCCUGAAGGGACGUCGGCCCAAAAAGCCGAACUUGUGGCUUUGAUACAAGCUCUAUGAAUAACAAAAGGGAAGUCUAUCAGCAUUUACACUGACAGCAGGUAUGCUUUUGCCACUGCACAGAGCGAUAUACAAAGAGAGCUGUUGACAUCUGCAGAGAAAGACCUAAGAUACUGUGGCUAAAUGGAAUCUGAUGGCAGAUCUAACCGCCAAACAGGCAGCCCAAGGAACAAUGAUCCUGGCAGUCAAGGAGCCUAAAGAUUAUUAUGAUGUCAGAGAGACCAGCUUUAGAUACACCCCUGAGGACUAUCAAGUUAUGGACUAAUUAGGACUGGUAAAGGAACUAGUCCUCCCAUGGGAAGAAGGACACAAGUAUGUUACCAACUUACGUUACUUGACCCUCUUGGGGGCCAAGAAAUUAAAAGGUGUGGUUAGCAGACCUGCCUUUGUUGCACAGGUAAGUCAGAGACUGGCCAAGAUAUUAGAGAUUGAUUAGAAGUUGCAUUGUGCAUACAGGCCCCAAAGCUCAGGACAGGUAGAGAGGAUAAAUAGAACUCUAAAAGAGACCUUGGACAAAAUUAAUCAUAGAGACUGGCGCAGACUUGGUGCUCCUUCCUUUUGCCCUAUUUGGAACUAAAAAUACUCCCUCUUGAUUCAGCCUUACUCUUUUUGAGAUCCUUUACAGGGCUCCCAUGCCAUCACUGUCUAAAAAAUGAUGUGUUUGAACCCAUAUGUUGUUAUAAUAAUGAUCUAUAUGCUAAGUUAAAAGGCUUGCAGGUGGUGCAGAAAGAAGUUGGUCACAACUGGCUACAGCAAACGAGCUGGGUACCCCAAAGACAUCUCACCAGUUCCAGUCAGAGAUCUGAUCUACAUGCACCUGCAUCAUGCCCAGACCCUCAAAGUCUCACUAGAAGGGUCCCUGCCUAGUCCUGUUUACUGUCCUUUCUUAUUCUGUUUUUGUUCUUAACCUUUGGCCCAUGUUAAAGAUAGAGUGAAUGCAGUGCAGCUUAUGGUCCUCCAGCGUCAAUACCAACCUAUAGUUAAGAUAGAAAAAGAGUAUGAUUUCUAUUCUCUACAUAGAGAUAUAGACUUGUGAAAUUCUAAGAUUAGAAUUACUUAGUAGAAGAAGAGGGGAAUGGAAGAAAAUUAAAAUUCAAGGUCCAUGACUCAUGCAGCUUGCUAGUUAGGAGAGCUUUUUGGGCCUAGAACAAAGAACAAAGGCUGUAAAGUCAUCCCAGGAACCAACUAGCCAUAAAGAUAGGGAAGACAUACAAGAAUGUCUGGACUGGACCGGCACCUCCCUAUCUCCCGCCCUUCUGACAUGGGUUAAAUGUUAACCAGAUGCUCUGCUGUUACCUCGAUCUGCACGUACAGUUUGCUGAUGUUUAAACUGUCCAAUUGUAUGAAGCCGCACCAAUUCUUUCCCUGCCCCCACUCUUUUCCUAUAUAAACCCCUAGCUUCUAAGCCUCGUGGUCGACACCUUUGUCUCCUGCAGGAGAUACACAUGUGGGCCCGGAACCCUGUCAUUAAACUACCUCGUAUGUUUGCAUUAA
rnacentral:lncRNA from 1 species